rnacentral:rRNA from 1 species
CACUCCUCGGGAGGCAGCAGUGGGGAAUUUUGGACAAUGGGCGAAAGCCUGAUCCAGCAAUGCCGCGUGAGUGAAGAAGGCCUUCGGGUUGUAAAGCUCUUUUGUCAGGGAAGAAACGGUGAAAGCUAAUAUCUUUUGCUAAUGACGGUACCUGAAGAAUAAGCACCGGCUAACUACGUGCCAGCAGCCGCGGUAAUACGUAGGGUGCAAGCGUUAAUCGGAAUUACUGGGCGUAAAGCGUGCGCAGGCGGUUUUGUAAGUCUGAUGUGAAAUCCCCGGGCUCAACCUGGGAAUUGCAUUGGAGACUGCAAGGCUAGAAUCUGGCAGAGGGGGGUAGAAUUCCACGUGUAGCAGUGAAAUGCGUAGAUAUGUGGAGGAACACCGAUGGCGAAGGCAGCCCCCUGGGUCAAGAUUGACGCUCAUGCACGAAAGCGUGGGGAGCAAACAGGAUUAGAUACCCGGGUAGUCC